GAUGAACGCUAGCUACAGGCUUAACACAUGCAAGUCGAGGGGCAGCAUGAAGUUUGCUUGCAAACUUUGAUGGCGACCGGCGCACGGGUGAGUAACGCGUAUCCAACCUGCCCCGUACUCGGGUAUAGCCCAGCGAAAGCUGGAUUAAUCCCCGAUGUCACCUUUAUGGUGCAUGCCAUAUUGGUUAAAGUUAUUCGGUACGGGAUGGGGAUGCGUCUGAUUAGGUAGUAGGCGGGGUAACGGCCCACCAAGGCUACGAUCGUUAGGGGUUCUGAGAGGAAGGUCCCCCACACUGGAACUGAGACACGGUCCAGACUCCUACGGGAGGCAGCAGUGAGGAAUAUUGGUCAAUGGGCGCGAGCCUGAACCAGCCAAGUAGCGUGAAGGAUGACUGCCCUACGGGUUGUAAACUUCUUUUGCAAGGGAGCAAUAAGGUCUACGUGUAGACUGAUGAGAGUACCUUGCGAAUAGCAUCGGCUAACUCCGUGCCAGCAGCCG
rnacentral:rRNA from 1 species